UGUUUGUGGAUUGUGAAGGUGAGCAAGUAUGGAAGAGGAGUUGUGCUAUUCAACAGUCUGCUUUAAGCCAUUUGACAAUCAGAAAUCUACAGUGCCACAGCUAGAGGAGUCUGUAUUGUAUGCGGAGGUGAAAAGAAAACAAUCAACUUCACAGACACCUCCUGAGACCUCAGCAAAAGAUGCUGCCACCCCAAUCCUUUCAGCGUACAGACGAGCUACAGUGUUUCUGGGGCUGCUCUGCUUCCUCCUGCUUGCUGUGUUAACAGCUGUCGGCGUUUUCAGUAAGGAUAAGCACUCAUUCAUAUACACAAUACCAAAAUAUCAUUCAGUCCUACCUUUGGAUGUCCACAUUUGGUUGUGUGCUAGUCCUAUUCAAGGAAACGCAAAGACCACGAUUAACUGGUUCAGAUCUAGAACUAAAAAUAAAUAAACAAAUAAAAUAAAAAGAGAAGUUAUUGAGUACUCCUAAUGUAACCUCAAAAUGUACCAACAUAAAAGUUUACAAACGUGUCAAGAAAAGGGAAAUGUUGCUG
rnacentral:lncRNA from 1 species